rnacentral:tRNA from 1 species
GGGGCUAUAGCUCAGCAGGUUAGAGCGCACGCUUGAUAAGCGUGAGGUCGUUGGUUCAAGUCCAAUUAGCCCCA